AAUAUAUUCAGUCGCGUUCUCAACGUUAACGGACUGAAUUUUUUCCAUAUGAUAAAUAUACAAGAUGAAUAUUUAAUUCAUACUAAACCCAUCGUAUUUUUCGCGCUUAUAGCUUUUAUCUUUUUGCUUUGUCGGCGGACAACCUUAAUGCAAUAAGCUGGAUAUAAAAUACUGUAAACAAUAUAGGACCUAACACUGAACCUUGUCGGACACCACUUCUAAUAGUCUUUUCCUCAGAUUGAACAUCUGCACAUUUUACCAUUUGUUUUCUAUAUUAUAUAGAUAGAUAAUUUUCGAACCAUUUUUUGCCCACAUCCAAUCCCAUGCAUAAUGAUCUAAUUUUCUU